CUUUCGACCGUUGGAUUUAAAAGUUCUGAUCUAAUGGCUCAAAAUAAUUUGUGAAGAAAAAUCACUAAAAUCACCACACAAAAAUCUGGACAACCUGCUGUACUGGGUUUCUUUGCCUCCCAACACGUGAAAGCUUGCAGUUCAACCUGGAGAUGGCAAAUUUACAGAGCUGGGAAAAGAUGAAUGUGGGUAUUGCAAGCUCAGUCCCAGAAACCCACGCCAAAAACCAUGGCUUCUCUUCCUUCGGUACCCACCCACCCACCUAACCGACGGCAACCCCAUCUUCACUUAUCUCUCUUCGAGCUCUCAAUACGGUCAGAUCUGAAUUUCCAACCAUGGGAGACGAUAACGAGUGCGAGAGAGACCUCGACCGUCUUCGUUUGCUGCCGUCUCUUGCUCCAGUCGUCAGCUCAACUUCGCAACCAUGGCAACAUAUUUCUUCUCUUCCUCAACGCCGCCGCACAUCUGGCUCUCCAUCUCUGCCGCCGCCGAACCAUUCCGACUAGGUGCUUUUAAGUAAAAGCACAACCACUAGAUGGGAUCUCUCCUUCAUCAUAAUAUCAAACAUGAGAUGGGACCUGGCCUUUAUGAUAAUAUGGAGCUCUGUACUGUAGCAAACAGCAAGGCCACGCCGCCUGACAAAACCACAUGGA